CAUUCCACUUGUCACUUGAAUACACUUGAUUAUGCCUUUUCAUUGCUUGCUGGAAUCAUCAAGAGUGGUUGGGUGCCUGAUGUCGUGACCUACACUACUCUCAUCAAGGGCCUUCUGUCUCAAGACAGGGCUUUGGAGGCUGAGCAUCUAUUUAGGAAGCUUAUCAGAUUUCGAGAAAUUCAGCCCAAUGUAGUUAUGUAUAACACCAUCAUUGAUGGUCUCUGCAAAACUUCAAAUACCUCCAUGGCUCUCAAGUUGUUAAGAAAGAUGGAGAAGUUAGGUUGUAAACCCGAUGCGAUAACUUAUACCUCGAUUAUUGAUUCUCUGUGCAAAGAAAGACGAGUCGAUCAUGCACUGGAUCUUGUGUCUGUAAUGAGCGUUAGAGGCAUUCCACCAGAUGUUAUAACCUAUAACAGAUUACUUCAAGGCCUUUGCAGCUCCAGCCAAUGGGAGGACAUUGAGCCUUUGUUAAGUGAGAUGGGUGCUCAGAAGAUCUCUCCUGAUCUGCACACCUAUAAUAUAUUGGUCGAUGCACACUGCAAAGAAGGGAGGACAAAAGAUGCUCAAGAUGUUAUUGAAAUUAUGAUCGAGAAAAGUGUACCUCCUGAUGUCAUCACCUACAACACACUAAUGGAUGGAUAUUGUUUAACAGGCAAAAUGGACAGGGCACUAGAGGUGCUGAAUACCAUGAGGAGUAAUGAGAUAUGGCCAAAUUGUUAUAGCUAUAACAUUCUGAUAAAUGGCUAUUGUAAGAGGCAGGAAGUAGACAACGCCAUCAAUCUCCUCAGACAAAUGCCUGUUGAAGGUAUAAAAGCUGAUGUUCAAACCUACAGCACCAUCAUACAUGGUUUGUUUCAGAUGGGUAGACAUAAUGAGGCGCGGAACCUUUUCCAUGAAAUGCUAAAACAAGGUAAUAAACCAAAUAUCGUAACAUGUCGAAUUCUGUUGGAUGGCCUUUGCAAGAACCGAUACAUGGAUGAAGCAAUUUCCUUCUUUCGAAUAAUGGAAUGUAAAGGUAUAGUUCAUGAUGUUCAAAUACAUAAUAUCCUCAUUGAUGGUCUCUGCAAGAACAGAAAACUUGACGAGGCCAGAAAUAUUUUUGAUAAGCUUGCUUCGAGAGGUUUGCAACCCAAUGUGAAGACAUACACUACAAUGAUUCAAGGAUUUUGUCAAGAAGGGUUGUUUGAGGAAGCAAAGAUAUUACUUUCUGAAAUGGAAACUAGCGGUUGUUUGCCUAAUGAUGUGACUUACAACACGAUCAUCCGUGGAAGCCUUUUGAAUAAAAGAUAUGAAGAAGCAGUUGUGCUGAUUGAGAACAUGCGAGCUCACAAUUACGAAGCGGAUGCAUCUACCACAUCCAUGGUAGUAGAGCUAUUUCCUAAAGAACAGGAAGAACAGGACCCCGCCGUUCUUGCUUUCUGCAAAUGGUUUUUGCAACAGGUACUUUAAUUUAUGGUUCAUUGUUAUUUAUUGUCAUCUCCUAACUUAUUUAAGUUAUCUGCUAUAGUAAUAUGUUUUGCUGAGUAAAGAAUUAUAUCUAUUAGCAACUUAAGAGAUACCAUCAGUUUGUUUAGAGGUAAUAGACAGUGGAUUAGAGACUGUAAUGCUAUCUCUUCUAUAUAAGGACAGUCUAUGUUCAAGUUGUCAUUCCGAACUGAAAGCUAGCAUAGCGACGCUUCCCAUAAUACGGAAAAAUAAAUCAGCAUUUAAAAAUAAUAAAAGAAGCCUCUGUACUACCUCUAUAAUGCAUAUAUCAGAUAACUUUAUUCCAGAUAUACCCUUCACCACGCAUAUUCAGGCUUUCACAAACAAGCUCAUUUCUCUUUCUCUACUAAUUAAAAUAACAAAAACUCUUAAAAUGAAUGUAUAAUCCCUACUUUUUUCCUUACACUUCCUUUUUGUCUCCCCCCUUCCGCUUGCUAGCUUUUCCCUGCUAUUUAACUCCAUUAUGCUAAGUUGGCUCUUGGAGAUGCACUAAUAUAGAGAACAAAGCAGAGAUUGGUAAAAAUUUACCUUUUGUGGUCUAGUGGAUUACACAAAAUAACAAGUUGGAACAGAAAAUGAAGUAUGAAUGUUGUUUGUGGAAUCACAAGGAGCUUACAGAUUAUGAGUUAUGACAUGUUGCUGAAAUUUUCAUGCGUUGAAUUGUACUGUAUAUGUUAUAGAACACUAGGAACCGAGAGUCUGUGUCGAUUCUCCAGAGAUUUGAGUUACGGAGUGUUCGCAAGAAUAUUAGUUUUCUGUGGUUUAUGCUUUUCUCAUGUUCUCCUUGUUUCAUCCAUGUGGGUUUGGCAGAGACAAAACAAUGAUAUUAGGCUAUUCGGCUUGGAAAGAAAGCUGGUUUUUUUAAAUAAUCUUGUAUUUCUCUGGUUCUAAUAAUUAAUGUGGAAAAUAAGUUUCAGUUGGUUAGGUGAAACUUUUAUUGGUUGCGCAAUAUAUUCUUUCUAAUCUGUAUAGUCCCUUAUAUGUUUAUGCUUCCCGUUUGAUAUUGUGCAGAAAAAUGAUCACGUUGACAGCUCGAGCACAUUCUGGAUUUGAGAAGAUCAGUCAAAUAGAUCUGAAGGUCUCUACAUCAGAUGCUGGGUAACUAAAGUGCAUCCCCUAGGCCCUCAUUUAUUUAUGCUUCCUGUUUGAUAUUGAGGACUUCUUAUUAGAAGUGGAGAAAAGUGAUAAAAAAAAGUAUGAAUUCAUUGUCUUUACUCCUUUGCCAGUAAUCUUUAUAAGUUAUAGGUCAUAGACCUAACUCUAUGUACUCACAGAUCUCAUCAAGUGGCCCCUUGAAUCCCACAUGAAGAACAUAUAGUAAAAAACAUGAGCUUUAACUGAAUCCAAUAUGCGAUGCCAUACUUAAUUUGUAUAGAGAUACAUGAGCUCCAUGUAACAUAUAUAUUAUGUUUGCAUGUGUCAAAUAUUUACUCUUUUACCUAAUUUGCAUAAAGAAACACUUAUAGAAAACACGUUACUCACGAUUUCUCAGCGGAUGCAUCCGCAACGUCCAUGGUACUAUACCUUUUUUCAACAGAAGAAGAAGAUUCAUCUAUUUUUGCUUUCCUUGAAUGGUUGUUGCAAUAGGUAGAAAAAUUGAUGGUUCACUGUUAUAAAUUUUCAUUUUCCCAACAUUCUUGAGGAUUUCGCAUACAUUGUUGAGUUACUUGCAUAUGUUAGUAGGCGGAAAUUUCUAUGAUAAGGCAGUUAGUAUACGGAAAUUGUAUGAUGCAGGUGUGGAGCACAGGGCAACAGUAAAUUCGGAAAAGGAAAUAUUUUCUUUCCUAUAUUUCUUCCAUUCUACUCAACCAUGGUAGAGCCUGUCAAAGAACUAACAGAUGAUGAAAACCCUGCCAAGUGUACAAUGCGACUGGGGUAAGUUCUUAACAUCGCAAACAUUUAGUAAUUUCAAGAAACUAGAUCUCGAGAACAUCCAGACCCAUCAUUUUAAGGCAUUGACAUGGUAAUGGUCGCUACCUAGUGACUCGAUCUUGUAUGCUUUUGCUCUCAAGUCCUCUGGCAAAAUUUUAUAAGCACAGGGUAUAGCAACAAUAAAACUAAUGAAUUACAUUUCUUGACAUUAGAAGCCCAUGCAACAGCGAAAUAUUAGAAGCCCUUUCUUCUCCUAGACCACCCAAGCCUAAAAGGCUUUCUGCAUGCUUUGCAUUGCACCUGUAUUUUCACCUCAAUAUUCACGAUUCGAUUCUGGCUAAUGUUGACACAAAAUGACAAACUUCAUUAAUAUGAGCAAAAAACAAAGAAAUAACUCAAUCAACUUUGUGUCUUGCAAAAAUGUUAAGAUAGGCAUGCGCUUUCCGGAAUUUCAAAAAAAUAAGGAUCGAAACUGAUUGUCAUCCCUAAUUUUUGAAAGUGAGACGAGUUGCAGUUUAGAUUAGCCCUUUUGAUUCCGUCACUUGCACACUAUAUAGAGUUACAUAAACAAUCUAUGGCAGAAUACCAAUAUAUAAGCUGGGUUGAAUACAUGGAUAGUACUGGCGAGGAAGAAGAGUCCGAAGAGACCGAAGAGUCCUGCUUCAAUACUAUUACAACAACAGCUUCCAUAUCCAUGCACAACCUCCAUCACUGACAUACCAUCAUCUCUACAAUUCUAUAUAUAAAUCGGUGACCAACUUCACUACAAGAAAAGAAGCUAUUUCCGAUAGACCCAAUCCGACCGACCCAUUUUACCUUCGGGCAACAUGAUGGUCGGAAAUCAAGAAUUCUUCGACACUCUGCAUCUCAAACUAAGCAUUAGCAUGCACAUAUAUACUGUAUGCACAAAGCUAAAACUGGCCUCUUGGCUUCUCACAAGACAACUUUUGUUCUAACAUGCCUUCUCCCUCAAUUAUUUCGAAAUAAUAAUACAGGAAUCCUCACCUUCCAUUGAGCCAUUGAUAAUUUUAGUUGUGGAAUAUAGUAGAACCUUGAUAAAUUAAUAAGUUGAUUAAAUAAACUCGAUCUCAACAUAUUAAUAUAUUCAAUCUCAAUUAUCACAAGAAACUAGUAUUUAAAAUUUAUCAGUUUCAAAAUUAUAAAUUUAUCGAGUUUCAGUCGGAGUAUCUUAUAUAUCUAUUUGAAAAAAUCCACUCACUGGUAUAAAAAUUUGCUGUCUGAACCAUAAAUAUUUGAAAUUUGUGGGUAGAUUUCUCAUCGUGGACAUUAAUUUAUGAUCGAAGAUAAGAAAAGAGGCUAUCUGACCAUAUUUGUUUAUAACUCCUCAAUUAUUCUUCUCAUCAAUCAUCACGGUCUGCAUUUUGGAGUUGAGUUACAUUUUUGUCACUUGGUAUUGGAUGGUACGAGCAUUCAUCUAACAUUCUUUUGUUUAGAUCUGCAUUUGUAUUUGAAUUUCAAAUUACUCAAAUUCUUGCAUAUGUUCUUGUCUUAAAGUUCAAAAUUCUUAAAAGUUCACAAAUGAAACCUCUUCUCGAUUAAGAAAUUAUACUACCUCACCUACAAGGCUACAACACACUAAUGGGUGGAUUUUGUUUAACAGGAAAAAUGGACAGGGCAUUAGAGGUGUUAAAUACCAUGAGGAGUAAUGGGAUAGCGCCAGAUUGUUAUACUCAUUGAACGUGUUUACUCAUGUUUCUUAGAAAAAUUGAUCCAGAUUAUCUAUGAUGGCCUACAACCAGAAUUAGAAUAAAUUUUUCUUCUUCUAAAAGUUCCUUUGUGUCUAUUAACAUGUAGGACGUACUUUCAAGUUCAGGUGUUACUUCAUUGAUUUCUUAUUUGUUGCGAAUCUUAAAAUCGCUUGGAGGCUGAUGGGAUAUGAGUUAUGUACAAGACCACCAAUCAGCUGGUUGGUUUGUUUAAAUGUUAGAACUCGGGUUAACUCGGUUCGACGUGAUUCGUUUAAAACUUAAGCUCGAAACGGGAUAUGUAGUUAAAAAUCAGCUCGGAACAACAUAUGUUGUUUAAAAAUUCGGUUUGAGCUUGGCUCGUUAAAACUAAAACUAUUGUUAAAAAUAUUGAUGCAUAUCGUCACAGAGAUAUCAAAGGUAUUAGUUUUCUUGUAAAUAUUUCGAGCCCGCAACAAUAUUGUACAAUAAAAGUUGAUGAAGUAACAAAUAACAAUUAACACAUACACAAUGAUGUACCUGGUCCAAGUCGUCCGGGUGUUAAAAGGGUUCAAUUUCUUGAACACAUACACAAUGAUGUAUAAGCUUGGUUCAAUUUAUAUUUACUAGUUGAUAACCCGUGCCAAGCACGGGUUUAAAUAAAAUUUUAAAAUUUGUUAUUUAUUGAAAGAAUAAUGUCUUUUUUUAAUUACAUUAUCAUAUUUUUAUUAUACAUAUUUAAAUUAUUGUUUUUAAAUGAUAUUUAAAUUAUUGUUAUUUAAUAUAAGACUUUUUAUAUAUUAAAAUUUGAUCCUACUUUAAAUUUAUUUCAUAACGAUAUGGGUCCUCGUUCUAUGGAGUCCACAAAAUAAGUGUAUUGGAGUCUAAAAUUAUUUAAAAAUAAUCUACUCGUUUCAAUUUUAAUUUUUUUAGUCUACAAUAUCUGUAAACAUCUGACAAUUUGCGGGUUAUGUUUCACAAUAUAAUCGUUGCAAUCAAAAGAUAAAACAGUUAUUUUAUUAUUUUUAUGAAUCACUAAACACUAUAUAUGUUCUAAAAUAUAACUCAUAAGUAGAAUAAUGAUCUUAAUGAUCGUUUCGGUUCUUUUAUUAUACAGUAUGUUGCAAUAUGGACAAUGACUUCAAUUUUCUUUGAGUUUCUAUUUGUCAAGUCAGUGUUACCACCGUCUUAUUCGUCUUUAUCGCAAUCUUCUGAAAAACACGAAAGGAUAAUAAUAAUAAUAAUUAUUAAAAAAUAUAUGACCAACUUUUUUGGUACUUUGGUAUCAAUAUUGAAUCUUGUUUAUUUUAAUUCUGAAAUAUGAUAGAAAUUUUAUAGAUUUGUUUCGUAAAUUAAAUUGUAUGAGUUUUAAAAAUUAAAACGAAUAUUUGACGUAUAUCCAGAGUUUCGGUUCUUUUAUUAUAUGUUGUAAUAUGGAGAAUAACUUCAUUUUCAGUCAGUGUUACCACUGCCUUAUUCGUCUUUAUCUCAAUCUUCUGAUAAACACUGAAUGAUAAUAAUUAUUAUUAUUAAAAAAAUAUAAGACCAAGUUUUUUUGGUACUUUAGUAUCAAUAUUGAAUCUUGUUUAUUUUAAAUCUGAAAUAUAAUAGAAAUUUUAUAAAUUUAUUUCGUAAAUUAAAUUGUAUAAUUUUUAAAAAUUAAAACGAAUAAUUUCGUUGACAUUAUUAUUCCUUUGAUAGCAUAUUAUAUUAAUAUCAAUAUGAACUCCUUGUUUAUUUGAACUCUGAAGCAUGGUAAAAGAUUUAUAGAGUUGUUCCGUAUAUUAAAUUAUUUGAGUUUUAAAAAAUUAAAACAAAUAAUUUUGUUGGUAAUAUAUUUUUGUUAGUGAAAUAAUUGUUAUAAUACAAAAUCCUAUUUUUUCAUAAUAGUAAUAACUGUUAAAUAAAAAACAAUAUGUUGAUUGUCAAAUUUUGAUAUGAAUUUUAUAGAACUGUUUCAUAAGUUAAAUUGUUAGCGAUUUAAGUGGAUGAUAAAUGUUAUAUUACAAAAUGCUAAACAUAAAAUUCUUUUUUUAUAGUAGUAUAAUAAUCUUAACCAAUAUUGAAAUUUUUAUUAAUAAAAUCCGAAUCAAUAUAGAAGUCUUUCACUGUUCUAAUGAAUAUUGAUGCCUUUAAUAAUAAAAUCUAUUCAAUAUAGAAGUCUUUUGAUAAUAGUAUAAUAAUAAUAACUAUAAAAUCCUAAUCAAUGACCAAAUUUUGGUAUUCUGGUACCGAUGUUCCACCGAAACGUGGUUUCGCUUAUUAAUAAAGGGCAUUGAUGAUAGUAACAGAUAAGCUUGGUUGUUAUUUAUGUUUAUCUGUUCUUAAAUUAGUCUGUUAUUGUGUGUGGCUCAUAUUUAGUCCAUCACUCCUAUUCUGACGUGACAAUUACCAGUUCACUCCGGUUCUUGAUUCACAAAAUAUUCUGCAUUUAACCAUUAAACUCUUUAAAAACAGCUUUAAGCAAUGUCUGCCAUUUUCCUGAGAAGAGGAGCUCAAAGACUCGCAUGCCCAUUUCCUCUGUUCUCUACGAAGCCUAACCCUAAUUCACACCCCAAUGCCCCCUUUAUUGCUUCUCCAUCCCCCACUCAUCCCGAGCUAAAACUACUACUCUAUCAGAAAUCCAAGGUUGGUUUCAAUAAACUCGACGAUGCUCUGCUUGUGUUCGAUAAAAUGCUCCUUCUGAAAUCUAGGCUUUCUGUUCUGCAUUUCAACCAACUGUUAGCCGCCCUCGUUCGGAUGGAAGAGUACUCUGUUGCCGUCUCCAUGUUUCGAGAAAUGCGUCUGUUAAGCAUUCCUGUUGAUAUUGUUACCUUUACUACUGCCAUCCAUUCCUGUUGUCACUUGAAUACACUUGAUUAUGCCUUUUCGUUGCUUGCUGGAAUCAUCAAGAGUGGUUGGGUGCCUGAUGUCGUGACCUACACUACUCUCAUCAAGGGCCUUCUGUCUCAAGACAGGGCUUUGGAGGCUGAGCAUCUAUUUAGGAAGCUUAUCAGAUUUCGAGAAAUUCAGCCCAAUGUAGUUAUGUA
rnacentral:lncRNA from 1 species